rnacentral:rRNA from 1 species
GUGGGGAAUAUUGGACAAUGGGCGAAAGCCUGAUCCAGCAAUGCCGCGUGAGUGAUGAAGGCCUUAGGGUUGUAAAGCUCUUUUACCCGGGAUGAUAAUGACAGUACCGGGAGAAUAAGCUCCGGCUAACUCCGUGCCAGCAGCCGCGGUAAUACGGAGGGAGCUAGCGUUGUUCGGAAUUACUGGGCGUAAAGCGCACGUAGGCGGCUUUGUAAGUUAGAGGUGAAAGCCUGGAGCUUAACUCCAGAACUGCCUUUAAGACUGCAUCGCUUGAAUCCAGGAGAGGUGAGUGGAAUUCCGAGUGUAGAGGUGAAAUUCGUAGAUAUUCGGAAGAACACCAGUGGCGAAGGCGGCUCACUGGCUCGAUACUGACGCUGAGGUACGAAAGCAUGGGGAGCAAACAGGAUUAGAUACCCUGGUAGUCC